rnacentral:rRNA from 1 species
GGGUCAGUAGGUUGGUCGUGCCACCGGUACGUACUGGUCUCACUGAUUCCUCCUUCCUGAAGAACCGUAAUGCCAUUAAUUUGGUGUUGCGGGGAAACAGGACUGUUACUUUGAAAAAAUUAGAGUGUUUAAAGCACGCUAACGCUUGAAUACAUUAGCAUGGAAUAGUGAAAUAGGACGAUCGAUCCUAUUUUGUUGGUUUCUAGGAUUGACGUA